rnacentral:rRNA from 1 species
AGAGUUUGAUCCUGGCUCAGAAUCAACGCUGGCGGCGUGCCUAACACAUGCAAGUCGCACGAGAAAGGGUAGCAAUACCUGAGUAAAGUGGCGCACGGGUGAGUAACACGUGAAUUAUCUACCUCCGAGUGGGGAAUAACUGAGAGAAAUCUUAGCUAAUACCGCAUAACACUUACGAGUCAAAGCAGCAAUGCGCUUGGAGAGGAGUUCGCGGCCGAUUAGUUAGUUGGCGGGGUAAUGGCCCACCAAGACGAUGAUCGGUAUCCGGCCUGAGAGGGCGCACGGACACACUGGAACUGAAACACGGUCCAGACUCCUACGGGAGGCAGCAGUGGGGAAUUUUGCGCAAUGGGGGAAACCCUGACGCAGCAACGCCGCGUGGAGGAUGAAAUAUCUUGGUAUGUAAACUCCUUUCGAUGGGGAAGAUUAUGACGGUACCCAUAGAAGAAGCCCCGGCUAACUUCGUGCCAGCAGCCGCGGUAAUACGAGGGGGGCAAGCGUUGUUCGGAUUUAUUGGGCGUAAAGGGUGCGUAGGCGGUUUGGCAAGUCUUGUGUGAAAUCUUCGGGCUCAACCCGAAGUCUGCAUAAGAAACUGCCGGGCUUGAGUAUGGGAGAGGUGAGUGGAAUUUCCGGUGUAGCGGUGAAAU